GGCUCAGGAUGAACGCUAGCUACAGGCUUAACACAUGCAAGUCGAGGGGCAGCAUGAGAUUAGCUUGCUAAUCUUGAUGGCGACCGGCGCACGGGUGCGUAACACGUAUCCAAUCUACCCAUGGCUCGGGGAUAGCCUUUCGAAAGAAAGAUUAAUACCCGAUGGUCUGCGAUUGAGACAUCUCGAUUGCAGUAAAGACUUGUCGGCGAUGGAUGGGGAUGCGUCCGAUUAGCUAGUUGGCGGGUAACGGCCCACCAAGGCGACGAUCGGUAGGGGUUCUGAGAGGAAGGUCCCCCACACUGGAACUGAGACACGGUCCAGACUCCUACGGGAGGCAGCAGUGAGGAAUAUUGGUCAAUGGGCGAUGGCCUGAACCAGCCAAGUAGCGUGAAGGGACGACGGCCCUACGGGUUGUAAACCUCUUUUGUAUGGGAAUAAAGUGAGGCACGUGUGCCUCUUUGUAUGUACCUUACGAAUAAGCAUCGGCUAAUUCCGUGCCAGCAGCAGC
rnacentral:rRNA from 1 species